AGAGUUUGAUCCUGGCUCAGGACGAACGCUGGCGGCGUGCCUAAUACAUGCAAGUCGAGCGAAUCUUUGGGAGCUUGCUCCCGAAGGUUAGCGGCGGACGGGUGAGUAACACGUGGGCAACCUGCCUAUAAGACUGGGAUAACUCCGGGAAACCGGGGCUAAUACCGGAUAACAUUUUGCGCCGCAUGGUGCGAAAAUGA
rnacentral:rRNA from 1 species